rnacentral:rRNA from 1 species
GACGAACGCUGGCGGCGUGCUUAACACAUGCAAGUCGAACGGGCCUGUCUUCUUUUUUGGGGGUGGGUUGAGUGGCGAACGGGUGAGUAUCACGUGAGUAACCUGCCCUUCGGUCCUGGAUAACCGCUUGAAAGGGCGGCUAAUACGGGGUGGUCCGGUUGGUCCGCAUGGGCUGGUCGGGAUAGAUUCACUGUUUUUGGUGUUUCGGCGGGGGAUGGGCUCGCGGCCUAUCAGCUUGUUGGUGGGGUGAUGGCCUACCAAGGCGGUGACGGGUAGCCGGCCUGAGAGGGGGGGCGGCCACACUGGGACUGAGAUACGGCCCAGACUCCUGCGGGAGGCAGCAGUGGGGGGUAGUGCACAAUGGGCGGAAGCCUGAUGCAGCGACGUCGCGUGAGGGAUGGAGGCCUUCGGGUUGUGAACCUCUGUUUCCGGUGGUGAAGGCCCUGUCCGUGUGGUGGGGUUGACGGUAGCCGGGGAUGAAGCGCCGGCUAACUACGUG